UCAGUCACGAGGUAUUGGAUUCAUCCACAGAAGAAUGUGCAUGAUUAGGAAAGUAAACUACAGGAAAUGGGCAGUUGGUUGGAUGGACAGAAUAGACCCAAGAUUCAAGAAGCCAAUGGCUUUCAUCAAAGAUUCAAUUACAAGCAGGGAAAAACCUCUGAUAUGUAAUGAGAUUUAGGACCUUUACAAGAGAAUUCUUGGAUGAGGGAGGUUUAACUUGGUUAGGCUUUGAU
rnacentral:lncRNA from 1 species